AAUCAACGCUGGCGGCGUGCCUCAGACAUGCAAGUCGAACGCGAAAGUUCCCUUCGGGGAGCGAGUAGAGUGGCGUCCGGGUGAGUAACACGUAGGUAAUCUACCUUUGGGUGGGGAAUAACAACCGGAAACGGUUGCUAAUACCGCAUAAUGCAGCGGCACCGCAUGGUGACAGUUGUUAAAGCGGGGGAUCGCAAGACCUCGCGCCUAGAGAGGAGCCUGUGGCGGAUUAGCUAGUUGGCAGGGUAACGGCCUACCAAGGCAACGAUCCGUAGCCGGCCUGAGAGGGCGGUCGGCCACACUGACACUGAAAUACGGGUCAGACUCCUACGGGAGGCAGCAGUCGGGAAUUUUGGGCAAUGGGCGCAAGCCUGACCCAGCAACGCCGCGUGAAGGAUGAAAUCCCUCGGGAUGUAAACUUCGCAAGAACGGGAAGAAUAAGUCUGUGUGAAUAUCACAGAUGAUGACGGUACCGUUUGUAAGCUCCGGCUAACUCCGUGCCAGCAGCCGCGGUAAUACGGGGGGAGCAAGCGUUGUUCGGAUUUACUGGGCGUAAAGGGCGCGUAGGCGGCCAGUGCAAGUCAGUUGUGAAAUCUCCGGGCUUAACUCGGAAAGGUCAACUGAUACUGCUC
rnacentral:rRNA from 1 species